UAAUGCUGCUAACAAAUUCCCUCCUGUUCCGAUUCAUCGUCCAAUCACAAGGAAGUUAGCUGCACAAAUCGCAAGCAAACAGCAGCAACCUGCAGUCGAGGUAACAAAGCCACCAGUCCUAGUGGCAC